UGGGGAGUACGGCCGCAAGGCUAAAACUCAAAGGAAUUGACGGGGGCCCGCACAAGCGGCGGAGCAUGCGGAUUAAUUCGAUGCAACGCGAAGAACCUUACCAAGGCUUGACAUACACCGGUAACGGCCAGAGAUGGUCGCCCCCUUGUGGUCGGUGUACAGGUGGUGCAUGGUUGUCGUCAGCUCGUGUCGUGAGAUGUUGGGUUAAGUCCCGCAACGAGCGCAACCCUCGUUCUAUGUUGCCAGCGCGUUAUGGCGGGGACUCAUAGGAGACUGCCGGGGUCAACUCGGAGGAAGGUGGGGAUGACGUCAAAUCAUCAUGCCCCUUAUGUCUUGGGCUUCACGCAUGCUACAAUGGCCGGUACAAAGGGCUGCGAUACCGUAAGGUGGAGCGAAUCCCAAAAAGCCGGUCUCAGUUCGGAUUGAGGUCUGCAACUCGACCUCAUGAAGUCGGAGUCGCUAGUAAUCGCAGAUCAGCAACGCUGCGGUGAAUACGUUCCCGGGCCUUGUACACACCGCCCGUCAAGUCAUGAAAGUCGGUAACUACCCGAAGCCGGUGGCCUA
rnacentral:rRNA from 1 species